rnacentral:rRNA from 1 species
UACGUAGGGUCCAAGCGUUAUCCGGAAUCACUGGGCGUAAAGCGUGCGUAGGCGGAUGGUUAAGUGUGAUGUUAAAUCGUGGGGCUCAACCCUGUCGUUGCAUCGCAUACUGGGCGUCUAGAGGACGGCAGAGGCAAGUGGAACUCGUAGUGUAGCAGUGAAAUGCGUAGAUAUUACGAAGAACACCAAUGGCGAAGGCAGCUUGCUGGGCCGAUACUGACGCUGAGGUACGAAAGCGUGGGGAGCGAACAGG